AGUGAACGCUGGCGAUAGGCCUAACACAUGCAAGUCGAACGGCAGCACAGUAAGAGCUUGCUCUUACGGGUGGCGAGUGGCGGACGGGUGAGGAAUACAUCGGAAUCUACUUUUUCGUGGGGGAUAACGUAGGGAAACUUACGCUAAUACCGCAUACGACCUACGGGUGAAAGCAGGGGAUCUUCGGACCUUGCGCGAUUGAAUGAGCCGAUGUCGGAUUAGCUAGUUGGCGGGGUAAAGGCCCACCAAGGCGACGAUCCGUAGCUGGUCUGAGAGGAUGAUCAGCCACACUGGAACUGAGACACGGUCCAGACUCCUACGGGAGGCAGCAGUGGGGAAUAUUGGACAAUGGGCGCAAGCCUGAUCCAGCCAUACCGCGUGAGUGAAGAAGGCCUUCGGGUUGUAAAGCCCUUUUGUUGGGAAAGAAAAGCAGCAGGUUAAUACCCCGCUGUUCUGACGGUACCCAAAGAAUAAGCACCGGCUAACUUCGUG
rnacentral:rRNA from 1 species